rnacentral:ncRNA from 2 species
AUAGAUAUGCUAUUCUUGCGCACAGUUACAGUCUUUUUGUUGACGAAUGAGGUGUAACUCCUCAGCUGACCCGCAACUGUGAAGUCUCCAUAUAGGAGAAUAAGCCAGGUCGCGCAAUGAAAGACUACUAA